rnacentral:rRNA from 1 species
AUGGCCACUGGAUGGAGUGCCACUGCCGUGGAUCCUCACCGGCAUCACCCUCGCCCGCCGUCCCGUGACCCUGAUCCGACUGGCACUCCGCCGCCUUGCCCAUUGAUUUCUGCCGCGCUGCGCUACUUCGCUCACGUCGCCCCGGCCCCCUUCCGCUCCGUCCACGCGAGCUCCUCAAGUUCCGCGUCCGCCGUGGCCGUGGAGCACAUCGGCGUCGUCCUCGCUAGCGGCGCAAAGUCCCUCUGCUUCCCUGCUCCAAAUCAACCGUCAAGCGUCGCUGCCUCCCCACGUGCCGUCCCGGAGUUCCGUGCCAAGCCGCCGGCUUCCUUCGCGCCGUUCCUGCCGCCCGAGUCACCGGCGAGCUCCUCCCGCUCCGUCGCCUCUUCUGCUUCAAGCCACUCGGUCCGCAUCGAUGGUGGAGCCGUGAUGGUCUCUUCUCGGCGGGGUCCAGGAAGUGAACACAGUGUUGGAGUUAUGCUUGAACGUGCCGAUGAUACCAGUGCAGGUGACACAGCUGAGCUCAAGUGGGAGCUCGAUGAAGAUCGUGUUCGUUGUGUUGUUUCGUUUCCAGUUGAUCAGUAG